GUAGGUGGCAUGAUAAGUGGAGUGUGAAAGCGUGCGGCUCAACCGCAUAUCCGCAUUCCAAACUAUUAAGCUUGAGUAUGAGAGAGGUAGAUGGAAUUUCUAGUGUAGGAGUGAAAUCCGUAGAUAUUAGAAGGAACACCGAUGGCGUAGGCAGUCUACUGGCUCAUUACUGACACUAAGGCACGAAAGCGUGGGGAGCGAACAGGAUUAGAUACCCUGGUAGUCCACGCUGCAAACUAUGGAUGCUGGCUGUUACUCACAUCGACCUGAGUAGUAGCGAAGUUAACGCGUUAAGCAUCCCGCCUGGGGAGUACGGUCGCAAGAUUAAAACUCAAAGGAAUUGACGGGGACCCGCACAAGCGGUGGAGCGUGUUGUUUAAUUCGAUGGUAAGCGAAGAACCUUACCCAGGCUUGACAUCCUGCGAAGGCUUCCGAAAGGAAACUGUGCUUUCGAGAACGCAGUGACAGGUGAUGCAUGGCCGUCGUCAGCUCGUGUCGUGAGAUGUAUGGUUAAGUCCAUUAACGAGCGCAACCCUUAUGUUUAGUUGGAUUUUUCUAAACAGACUGCCCUGGUAACAGGGAGGAAGGAGGGGAUGAUGUCAGGUCAGUAUUUCCCUUACGUCUGGGGCUACAAACACGCUACAAUGGCCGGUACAAAGGGCAGCUAAGUCGCGAGACGGAGCUAAUCCCAUCAAAGCCGGUCUCAGUUCGGAUUGCAGGCUGAAACUCGCCUGCAUGAAGCUGGAAUCGCUAGUAACGGUAGGUCAUCACACUACCGUGAGUACGUUCCCGGGUCUUGUACACACCGCCCGUCAAACCAUGAAAGUGGCCAACACCCAAAGUCUGAGCUUCGACUCGGCCUAAGGUGGGGGACAUGAUUGGGGUU
rnacentral:rRNA from 1 species